rnacentral:lncRNA from 1 species
AAUAACCUCAAAAAAAAGGGGCAUUUCUGCCCGAGGGGGACUCUGCUCCUUUGUUCAGUAACCAAAAAGGAUGUUUUGGUGGAAAAAAAGUGACGUUUUGAUAGAAAAAAAUGUAUUUUUCGUUCCUGCCAGAGGCUGUUUGGGUGCAGAAGGCCCUAAGAUGGCUUCCGGGGGCCAUUUCUGAAGAAAAAAGUGUCAUUUGGGGGGUGUUUUUGUGCUAAAAACGUGAAUUCUCAUUGCGAGGCAGCGAAUAGCCAUGUUAAAAGCAGAAUAAUUGGCUUUUUUUGCUGUGUAAUUUGUUUUUUUUUUUAGGCUGUGUAAGCAGGAAUGUGCAAGUCAUGGCUGCAGCCGUGGGGUUAAUCCCAGCCUGAAACGCGGCUUUGUGUGAUGGGAGGUUAAAAAAAAAAAAAAAAAAAAAGUUUGGAAAAAGGGAAAAUUGGGUUUUUUUAUCACAAAAUGACGCAUCAGAAAAAUAGCAUCCCACUAACAGCAGCCGAUUUCUCACCGGUUUUGCAGGAAACGCCCUGAAAACGCCAUGGAAAAAACUCCUCGGUGCUGCCCGCGUCAUCUGCGCGUUAAUGGCGCUAAUUGGCGUUAAUGAGAGGCGAGAGGCAGCGAGCGCCAGGCGCCUUCCAGCAGCCCCCGAUUGGCUCUGGGGGCCGUUUCCUUCAAGCUCUGCCUUCCCCUUCCUCGAGACGGGGCUUUAAGAAGGAGGAAAAUGGGAAAAGCGAGAGCAAACGAGAGCGUGGAGGAGCCGCGGGGAGGGCGAGCCAGAUGCGGGGCGAAAGCAGCGGGGCUUUGCGGCAGCCGAAGAGCAAGUGGAGGGGGAGACAGUGAACGCGGAGCUGAAACGUGAAGUUUUGGAGAGAGAGAGAGAGGAAGCUGGCUCAGAGAGAAGAUGGAUGCGAGGAGGAAGGAGUGUGCGGGAGAGAAGAGAGCAGGGAGAAGUGAGCGAGAUGGAAAAGAUGGGUGGAAGCGCGGAGUGGAAGGAAUGGCAGAGCGAGGUGAGCCGCGGCUUCACGCCGACGCGGCCCC